CCUACGGGCGGCAGCAGUGAGGAAUAUUGGUCAAUGGGCGCGAGCCUGAACCAGCCAAGUCGCGUGAGGGAUGAAGGUUCUAUGGAUCGUAAACCUCUUUUAUAAGGGAAUAAAGUGUGGGACGUGUCCUAUUUUGUAUGUACCUUAUGAAUAAGGAUCGGCUAACUCCGUGCCAGCAGCCGCGGUAAUACGGAGGAGCCGAGCGUUAUCCGGAUUUAUUGGGUGUAAAGGGUGCGUAGGCGGCCUUUGAAGUCAGCGGUGAAAGUCUGUGGCUCAACCAGAGAAUUGCCGUUGAAACUGGGGGGCUUGAGUAUGUUUGAGGCAGGCGGAAUGCGUGGUGUAGCGGUGAAAUGCUUAGAUAUCACGCAGAACCCCGAUUGCGAAGGCAGCCUGCCAGGCCAUGACUGACGCUGAUGCACGAAAGCGUGGGGAGCAAACAGGAUUAGAUACCCCAGUAGUC
rnacentral:rRNA from 1 species